rnacentral:rRNA from 1 species
UACAGAGGGGGCAAGCGUUGUUCGGAAUUACUGGGCGUAAAGGGCGCGUAGGCGGCCUUCUAAGUCGAACGUGAAAUCCCCGGGCUCAACCCGGGAACUGCGUCCGAUAUUGGGAGGCUUGAAUCCGGGAGAGGGAUGUGGAAUUCCAGGUGUAGCGGUGAAAUGCGUAGAUAUCUGGAGGAACACCGGUGGCGAAGGCGGCAUCCUGGACCGGUAUUGACGCUGAGGCGCGAAAGCCAGGGGAGCAAACGGG